CCGUGCUAGGCGGGGUGCUAGCGGUGCCCUGUACCCGCAAACCGCUCUAGCGGGGCUGAAUUCCCUCUCGAGGGGCCGACGCCCUUGGUCAGCGCCUCGUCCGUGGCGGCGAUGGCCCGGUCCCGCCGCGAUGGAGACCCGUGAACCAGGUCAGGUCCGGAAGGAAGCAGCCUUAAGCGGUCACCUUCAGGCGCAGCGGGAGCGCCGGACUGGAGUCAUGAGACGGCGGCAGCGCCUUGGUCGCCACCUCGACAGAGGGUGCACGG
rnacentral:SRP_RNA from 1 species